rnacentral:lncRNA from 1 species
AUGUGGGACAAAAAUUAAAGGGGGGAAUGAAGCAACAAACAAUUUUUGUUUAUAUAGUCCUUUGAUAUUUUUGAAGGACUAAUCAGCCUCAUCAUUAUGCAAAGCACGAAAAAGCACCACGUCAUUUUAUAUGAAGAGAUACAAGCACUAUAAUCGAAUAUUCAAAAUCCUAGCCCUUAAAACCCCAAAUUGCCAACCAUCAUUGACACCUAUAUGGAUACUAGUCUAAUAACA